rnacentral:rRNA from 1 species
UAGGGAAUUUUGCGCAAUGGGGGAAACCCUGACGCAGCAACACCGCGUGAAUGUUAAGCCCUUCGGGGUGUAAAGUUCUGUCAAUUGGGACGAAUUUUGACUGUACCAAUAAAGGAAGCACCGGCUAACUCCGUGCCAGCAGCCGCGGUAAUACGGGGGGUGCAAGCGUUGUCCGGAAUCAUUGGGCGUAAAGCGUUCGUAGGCGGCACGUCAAGUUUGGUGUCAAAGCCCGGGGCUCAACUCCGGUUCGGCAUUGGAUACUGGCGAGCUAGAAUGCGGUAGAGGUUAAGGGAAUUCCUGGUGUAGCGGUGAAAUGCGUAGAUAUCAGGAGGAACACCGGUGGCGAAAGCGCUUAACUGGGCCGUUAUUGACGCUAAGGAACGAAAGCCGGGGGAGCAAA